AAGUCAAUAUGAGAUAGUUUGUUCGAAUCGGAUACCUAAUCAUGUCAGAUUAUAAGUCAGAGUUAUAGGCAGAUAUGAUCGAAACAGGAGCAUUCAAAUUAGAAGCCAGAAUGUGAGACAUACUAUUGAACUAGAUUUUUAAUAAAGUCAAUAUGAGAGAGUUUGUUCGAAUCAGAUACCUAAUCAUGUUAGAUUAUAAGUCAGAGUUAUAGACAGAUAUGAUCGAAACAGGAGCAUUCAAAUUAGAAGCCAGAAUGUGAGACAUACUAUUGAACUAGAUUUUUAAUAAAGUCAAUAUGAGAGAGUUUGUUCGAAUCAGAUACCUAAUCAUGUCAGAUUAUAAGUCAGAGUUAUAGACAGAUAUUUUUGAAACAAGAGCAUUCAAAUUAGAAGUCAGAAUGUG
rnacentral:lncRNA from 1 species